rnacentral:rRNA from 1 species
AAAGUGGCGCACGGGUGAGUAACGCGUGGAUAAUCUGCCCGAGGAUUUGGGAUAACAUCUCGAAAGGGGUGCUAAUACCGAAUAAGCCCACGGGGUCUACGGAUCUUGCGGGAAAAGGGGGGGACCUUCGGGCCUCCUGUCCUUGGAUGAGUCUGCGUACCAUUAGCUAGUUGGUGGGGUAAUGGCCUACCAAGGCGACGAUGGUUAGCUGGUCUGAGAGGAUGAUCAGCCACACUGGAACUGAGACACGGUCCAGACUCCUACGGGAGGCAGCAGUGGGGAAUUUUGCGCAAUGGGGGAAACCCUGACGCAGCAACGCCGCGUGGGUGAUGAAGGCCUUCGGGUCGUAAAGCUCUGUCUGGAGGGAAGAAAUGAUUGGGAGCUAAUACCUCUUGAUCUUGACGGUACCUCUGAAGGAAGCACCGGCUAACUCCGUGCCAGCAGCCGCGGUAAUACGGAGGGUGCAAGCGUUGUUCGGAAUUAUUGGGCGUAAAGCGCGUGUAGGCGGUCUUUUAAGUCUGAUGUGAAAGCCCCGGGCUCAACCUGGGAAGUGCAUUGGAAACUGGGANGCUUGAGUACGGGAGAGGA